rnacentral:misc_RNA from 1 species
UUUCCGUAGGUGAACCUGCGGAAGGAUCAUUACAGUAGUCGCCCGGGUUGCCGCAAGGCCUCCCGGGUAACCUACCACCCUUUGUUUAUUGCACUUUGUUGCUUUGGCAGGCCUGCCCUCGGGCUGCUGGCUCCGGCCGGCGAGCGCUUGCCAGAGGACCUAAACUCUGUUUGUCUAUACUGUCUGAGUACUAUAUAAUAGUUAAAACUUUCAACAACGGAUCUCUUGGUUCUG